ensembl:lncRNA
GAGUUGGGAAAUAAGCGUGACGUCACAUGCUCACGAUCAAUUGAGUUAUACCUGAAGUAGUGUUUGGUGUGGUUAUACUUGACUAUUAUAUUAUCUUUAUAAAGCAGUGUAUUCCUGUUAUACCUCUCCCCAGCAGCACCUUGGUUCAGCGCUAAUAACCUUCUACGAAUCGGAGAGUGCUUGAUUGAUUUCCUACGAAGGGACUUCUCGGUAACUUGAGGGAAUUAUGUGAACACGACGACACAGCGUCAUACGUAAGCCUGCGUGGGUGAGUGGAAACGAGCGGCCCAAGUGGGCGGACCGGAGAGUUUAGUGUCUACCUGCUGGCAGCGGGAGCGCUUCAUUUCAGCACCAAGGACAGAGAGGAAGGACGCGAGCAAUUGCUCUGCUGAACUUGUGUGAUUCUGUUAAUCAAGAGGAAUUAUUCACUCAAACACUUGGAUGGAUUUGGAGCUUCAAACUAAGGUUGGAAGUGAAAUGCUCAAUAAUAAAUGCUGUUUUGUAAUAAAUGCACGUUUUUCCUUAAACUUGCUUUUUUUCUUUGCAGAAUUUUCUUGCUCUUUUCAGUUACUUGGGAUUUUGCGUCACAUGAGGAAUAUCCCUGUUAUGUCCAGUUCUGAGUAAGGAGGAAGAAGUCUAAAAGAAGAAUUCACUCUCAGUUGGAAUAAUAAGACCCUCAUCAUGAAUGUGAAUAAUAUCAACAGAGGAAACAAAACUCACCCGUAUUCACCGCCCACAGAGGACCCUCUGUACAGGCAGUACAAGCCCCUCCCGAGGGACCUCGUGCCCCUGCCAAAGGCAGUGUUGUACCUGCUCAUGGCUGUCCUGGUAGUUGUUGGAGUUGCCUAUGCUAUUGUUGGACAUCUCAUCAAGGAUCUGGCCAUUGACAUUGCAGAGUGUUUGUUGGGUCCGACUAGUGAUGAAGAGAAGGACAGGGAAAACAACCAGCAGCACGUGGCCGCCAGCCAUCCCCCUGCUGUGCAUCCAUUUGCCCACAAUGCCUUCCAUGUGUGGGACCAGGACGAGGUGGUCAUCUCUCUGCCCCACGAAGAGAGCUCCCUGAGCAGCCCGCUGCUGAUGGCUACCAUCCCCUACAUCCCCUCGUUCUUCCCACACUCACACAGCCCAACAAGUCACUGCUCUCUGGCUUUUUCCAACAGCCCAGUAACAACCAGAGUGAUCAACAUCCCGAGGGAGACCUGAUGUUUCACAAAGACCAUGAUCAUGAUCAGCCUUGAUGACUUGGUAACCAAGUGUUAGGACACCAGCACACACAAGACACAUGCAGAUUUGUGUUGCGUAUCAAUGAAGAGAUGGUUGUCAUACGUGUAGAAACCCAGUCUUGUGUUGAACGCUGUGCCCUUCACACAUCAUAUAUACGGAAAAUCCCUGAGAAGGGGAACCCAAGGACAAAAGGAAUUACUGGAGAAGUUCACUGGAUAUUGUCUUCGUUAAUAAAGCCUAACAAGUGUGACAGUAUGAAAGUGGAGCUACUGUAUGUUCAGUGUGAGGGACUGAUGUUUGUACUGGCAGCAAGACAUUGUUGUUCCUUUCUGACUAUAAAGUGUGUCUUAUUAGUGGAACUCACUGGUGGUGUUUCUGUUUUGUUGUUGCACUAAAUGUUCUGCAAACUGGAGAUCAGACUCUUGGUGGAGGUUACUACAGUAUUUGUAGUCAACAAAGCUGCUUCCAACCUGCAAACCAGCUGGCUGUGCCGCACACUUUAGCUAAAUGUUAUUUCAAGACACGGAGGGAUUAUCUUAAGAAGAAGACUUAACAGAGUUCCAGCAAUGCUCAACAUGUACACAACACAACUUAAUCCUGCAGCCUUUACUGCAGGUGUCACAUGCACUUGUGGAUUCCCCGUGUGGUAAAGCAGAGCCUAUACAAGCGCAGUUUAUAGCAUAAAAGUGUGUGUAAGUGUGUAGCAUGCUGGGAAAGUCAGCUAAGUUUUCCUUUAAUACCAGCGCACAGCAGCUUUUAUUCUUAGACAACAUGUUCUUAAUAAAUAACGUUUGAAAUCAUAAAUUAUUCAAAAUCUAAAACUGUCAGCGUUCUACUUGCAUUCAGUAUGUUUUGCCCACACUGUUGGGAAGAACAAAAGUGAAGUAAAAAAGAUCCAAUAAAACGUUUCAUUUACAACUCUUGUCUAAGCAAUGUCAUGUGGUCAGUUGU